UCCUUGUUGGUCUAGUGGUCAUGAUUUCCGCUUGUCAAACUGAUGUUUGUAGACCGGGGUUCGAUUCCCCGACAGGGAG